UUUUCUUUUUAAAUCCUCUUUCUUCUCCCCCUCCUCUCCUUUUCUUGCACCGCUAUGUCCCAGUUGCUCUUAAAGGGAUAUCAUUUAUAUUCGUUGGUCACCCUCCUUAAGUUCCCUCUCCCCCAUUGGAGCAUUUCCUUUCUGCCCCCUCCUCCUCGGGGUUUCGGCCGACAGAUAUUGCACAACAGUAUUUUUCAGACCAUCAUAAAUAGAUCUCUGCCGUUGCUAUAGAGAGAAAUAUUAAUGGAGUCUUUUUGUAGGCCCUAACUCCGCCAUGUUCGUUGGACAAUGCAUAUGAGGAAAAUUAAUGGCGUAUUUGUAGGGUUUUGGAUAAACGCCGAAAAUAAGGUCUGUGGGAAACACAGAUAUAGGAUAUCUUAUUUGUUCUAUUAGAUCAUCUUCAUUAUCUAACGUCACUUUUAGUUCACGUUGGAGGUUUUUUGGUAAUAAUAAAAACCAAAUAAAUCUCAUAAAGUUAAUGUAAACUGACUGCUAUUAUCACAACAUAUAAGAUCUCCUAAGCCUGUGUUAAAGAAGCAUUAUGUCGAGUUGUUGCGUUAUAAUGUCAUAAUAUAUCUGCAGUAAUAGUAUAAUUCUAGUGUUGUAACAUAUAUUACAUAUGUAUAUAUAAUGCUUUGGGCUCUUACAUAACACUCCAUACAGAACCAAUCAGUCGAUAUAAUGGACAUCAUAAAUCACGCGAUGUGAAUCAGACAGUGGGGCGGUGCGACUCUUUGGUCAGAAGGUUCCAAUCAUCGUUUUAUGUCAUCAUUUCCGAGCAGCGUCAACGACAACUGUUAUUACACCCCGUUUACGUUGGCGGCGGUAAAGGCCAUUUUUAUUGUGCAGUAACUAAAACUAGAAGAUCUGGCGUCCUUUCCCUUCGCCAAAGCGUACAUUUCCGGGGAGCCCGUGGCAUGGUGUCGUGACAGAGUUGAGGCUGAAAGCGGUGGCUAGCGAUCCGUCGCUGAUAAACAACUUGACUCGCUUCGGCACGGCUGGGCUUGUGACUGGGUCGGGGAUGUUAGGCGAUGGAGAACAAAGUGUGGGGCAUUGUGGUACAAAUAAAUGGGGAGAUAAUGUGAGUAGGGGUUUGAAGGGGAGAGAGAGGUAUGGAGGCAGCAAAGGACGUUUGAAGAGAGCGACAGUUUCCAGCGGCAGUUCGGGGGUCGAGAGUGUAGAGGAAGGGCAAGAUGCAUCGCGAGGUGAGGAGGAGCAUAAAGUGAUUAUGAACUUUAAGGGAGGAAGGGGGAGUUGGGGCGACGAGUCCGAUAAGGUUGACGGCUGUGAUAAAGUAGUUGAUUGGGGAAAUUGUCAACGCUAAAGUGUUACUAUAUGGGAGCUUGUUGAUGUUCUGUAAGGACAAUGCGCAGAGGGGAAAAAGCUCUUGAGUGAAGCAAAUAGGGAAGUGUAAGGUGGUGUCGAGCAGCUGGACUGAUCAUGCAGGAAAACUGUGGAUUAAAGGGGUGAUAACAGGAGUGCCUGUGAGUGUUGGCACUAAAGAGGUAAGGGACAAUUUGAGAUUAGUUAUUCUAGUAAAUGAUCAAAUAUAGCAAGAAACAAGGGGUGGAGUUAGGGUAGAUGGCCCGUUUAUGUUACACUUCAAGGAACGGGUACUGCCUAAUAAAGUAACCAUAGGAUACAUGAGUUAUUAUAAACUGGGUGGUUUGAGCCCUGAAUUCUGAUUGGCUGAAGGCCAUAGUAUAUCAGACUGUAUACCACUGGUCUGACAAAACAUUUAGUUUUACUGCUCUGAUUACAUUGGUAGCCAGUUUAUAAUAGCAAUAAGGCUCCUUAGCCUGAUGUGAUUUGUGUGCAGGAAACGUAGGGACGAGGGACAGGGGUGGGGGGGUGCCACUUUCAUAAAGCAAGGACUUUCUUAUAGGAUGCUAGGCAGAGGUAUUGAACAGGAAUAUGUAGUAGAGGAGGGGUGGUAGUAAACUACUAUAAUCCGUGUCAGAUAUUAGACCUGGAAGUGCUGGAGAGGGUGGAGGGCCACAGGGAAGAGUCUGCCUUGGACCUCACUCUGGUAUCUAGUGUGAUGGCAGGAAUCUGUGAGUGGGAGGUAAGGGAGGAGUAGGGUGUGAUCACUACUAUGCACAGUAGGCCGGAGGGAGGAGGUUCCAGUGGAUGGAGUAGGCAGGUGGGUGUUUGGAAGGGCAAAGUGGGAUCAGUUUCAGGAGCUGAGUGAGCAGGUGAUGGCUCGGGUGGAUAUGAGAGGGGAUGUGGACAGUAUGAAUAACUGGGUGAGAACAGCGUUAGUGGGGGCAGCUACUGAGGCGAUACCUAAGAGUUCAGGGAGGAGGAGGAAAGCAGUCCCGUGGUGGACGAAGGAGUGUGGGGCAGUUGUGAGGAAUAGAAACAAGACAUUUAGAGUACUGAAAAGGACGUAUAACUUCCAACAUCUGAUUCAGUAUCAGCAGGCCCUGGAGAGGAGAACUAUUCCUCAGUCUGAUUCAGUAUCAGCAGGCCCUGGUGAGGAGAACUAUCCCUCAGUCUGAUUCAGUAUCAGCAGGCCCUGGUGAGGAGAACAAUCCCUCAGUCUGAUUCAGUAUCAGCAGGCCCUGGUGAGGAGAACUAUCCCUCAGUCUGAUUCAGUAUCAGCAGGCCCUGGUGAGGAGAACUAUCCCUCAGUCUGAUUCAGUAUCAGCAGGCCCUGGUGAGGAGAACUAUCCCUCAGUCUGAUUCAGUAUCAGCAGGCCCUGGUGAGGAGAACUAUCCGUCCGUCUGAUUCAGUAUCAGCAGGCCCUGGUGAGGAGAACUAUACUAUCCCUCAGUCCGAUUCGGUAUCAGCAGGCCCUGGUGAGGAGAACUAUCCCUCAGUCUGAUUCAGUAUCAGCAGGCCCUGGUGAGGAGAACUAUCCCUCAGUCUGAUUCAGUAUCAGCAGGCCCUGGUGAGGAGAACUAUCCCUCAGUCUGAUUCAGUAUCAGCAGGCCCUGGUGAGGAGAACUAUCCCUCAGUCUGAUUCAGUAUCAGCAGGCCCUGGUGAGGAGAACUAUCCCUCAGUCUGAUUCAGUAUCAGCAGGCCCUGGUGAGGAGAACUAUCCCUCAGUCUGAUUCAGUAUCAGCAGGCCCUGGUGAGGAGAACUAUCCCUCAGUCUGAUUCAGUAUCAGCAGGCCCUGGUGAGGAGAACUAUCCCUCAGUCUGAUUCAGUAUCAGCAGGCCCUGUUGAGGAGAACUAUCCCUCAGUCUGAUUCAGUAUCAGCAGGCCCUGGUGAGGAGAACUAUCCCUCAGUCUGAUUCAGUAUCAGCAGGCCCUGGUGAGGAGAACUAUCCCUCAGUCUGAUUCAGUAUCAGCAGGCCCUGUUGAGGAGAACUAUCCGUCAGGCGAAUUGGUCAUGUUGGCGUUGGUUCUGUAACACCAUUGGAAGGGCGACACCUGUGGGAGAAGAGUGGGGGAUGAUCAAGAGGAUGAGUCGGGUCAGAAGGGAGUGGGACUAGGGAGUGGGACUACAGAAAGAUAGGGAGGGUGUUGAUCCAUCUGAUUAGAGACUACAGAAAGAUAGGGAGGGUGUUGAUCCACCUGGAGAGACUACAGAAAGAUAGCGAGGGUGUUGAUCCAUCUGGAGAGACUACAGAAAGAUAUCGAGGGUGUUGAUCCAUCUGGAGAGACUACAGAAAGAUAGGGACUGUGCCCUGCGACCCAAUGUACACCUGGCCCACCAUCGAUCUGGACUGUCUCUAUGACCAUGUUCACCUGUACAGGGAGACAGUCCCCAUCCUUGCCAAGACUCUCAAGGACGUCGCUUUAAACCGCAGUCCGACCUCUCCACCCAGGAACAGCAGAGCAAUCUCCACCCCGAAAAAGAUCACCGGGACAAUACCCCGGACCAGCACCCUGGGACUCCCAGCCACGACCACAUCACCACCUCAAUGCCUACCACAGCCAGUGCAGCACAGACCACCCCAGCCCAGCUUCAGAGCCACCCAGAUGAGGCCUCCCACCCCCCUACCCCCCACCGCACACCCACACUUGGAGGAGGAGCCACAGCCCAGCAGGCACAGGCUGUGAGAGGAGCAACUGGCCCAGCCCCCACCAACCAAAUGAGUGACAUUAAACAUGCUGAGUCUACUAUGCUCACAUGUGAUAGGCCGAGGGUCAUGAUUCCAUCUUUGAGAAGAAAAAGAGCCAGGCUGGUUUACAGAGACCUGACUAGAGGCGUGAUAGUGCCGACACCCCUGCAUCAACUUGGAUCGUCAGGGCAGUUCAACCCAUGUGUUCCUGUGGCCCUACGAUGAGAGUGCAGGAGACAAGAUGACCAUGACUGUCACAGCCAGUACAACCGUACUCUGACUGUUAACAUUAGAGUUUUGCAACUGUGAGCUGGAACCUAUCACUCUGAUCCUCCACAGACUGGUCUGCCACCCCCCAACUGUGAGCUGGAACCUGUCACUCUGAUCCUCCACAGACUGGUCUGCCACCCCCCAACUGUGAGCUGGAACCUAUCACUCUGAUCCUCCACAGACUGGUCUGCCACCCCCCAACUGUGAGCUAGAACCUGUCACUCUGAUCCUCCACAGACUGGCCUGCCACCCCCCAAAUGCCGCAAACAGAAAUUUCAGUGGAUCUCCUGCGCCAGUUUGCAGCCCCGCAGCUGGAGUGAGGAGUGUCUUUGAGGGGGAUUACCUUUCCAUAAAUCCAAUACAUGCUGGAAGACAAUUGAGCUCUACCGGAAACUCACAAAUGAGUCAUUUGAGGAGUUCUAACACUGGCAGUUUGAACGAGAGACUCUCAGGGAUUUGGCGCCACUGACCUCGGAUGAAACAAAGUGCCUUCUCGGUCCAUAGGUCACUAAUGGUACCAGGUGUGUGACUGGUAGUGGGCUUGCUGACGGAGAACAGAUGGAGAGGAUGUGGUCCUACGUUAGAACAUUUGUGAAGAUCACAAAAGAGAUGACACCAACUCAUCGUGUUGACGCCCUCAAAGAUGCCCUCUACUACGCAUCCAGGGUCAGGGAGAAGCAAGGUAUAACUGGAAAUCAGUUAAGUAUUGAGACGACCUAUUGUUCAGGAUUGUGUUGAUAUCAUUUUGCCCCCAAAAAACGCUGAUGUUAUAGCACCGGCAAUACAACUCCGUCGGCAGAAGGUCCUGAUAGAGGAAGCCGAGGCAAAGGAGGAGUUGAUGGUGUUGCUUAACAGCAUUCUAGGUUAGAUUCCAUGUGUUUUGCUCAUAACUUUUAUUUAUAUAUCAUGAUCCUUUUCUGCAAAUUCAAUCAGAUUCAUUGGCAGCAGGGCUGCAGUAUCAUAAGACAAGGCUUUCUCCCACAGAGCUCAUCUUUAUGGAAUGGUUUGCCGAUGUGAAAGAGUCAGAUCUUCUCUCGUCUGUCAGUCCUAUGAUUGAGUAUCGUCUUGCCCAUGGGUGGGAAGGUGAACGGAAAGGCAGCACCCAGUCGGACGUGGAAGUUUGGACCCGUCAGAUGGAGACCCUCACAGACAAGAGGACGUUGUUCCUUACCUGGCAGGAGAGAUGCGUGGAAACUCUCGCAGAACAACAAUGGACAAACCAUUGCUGUGUGGCUCUCCAGAAAAAUCAAGCGGACAUCGGAGAGAAUAAAACCGCAGAUCAACGCCUAAAGAUGCAUAACAUGUGCCUUAGGGCAGCAGAGGAGAGGCACACAAUACAGGCAGACCUACACAAUGGCCUUUUGUAUUGCCAGCAAGAGCUGGGGCUUUUUAAAGAUGCAUAGCAUGUGCCUUAGGGCAGCAGAGGUGAGGCACACAAUACAGGAAGACCUACACAAUGGCCUUUUGUAUUGCCAGCAAGAGCUGGGGCUUUUUAAAGAUGCAUAACAUGUGCCUUAGGGCAGCAGAGGUGAGGCACACAAUACAGGCAGACCUACACAAUGGCCUUUUGUAUUGCCAGCAAGAGCAUUUUCAAAUGUUGGCUGAUGAUGGCUCGGUCAGCACAGAUGUAAAAGAGGACAGUGAAUCAGAAGAUGAAAGUGGUUGAGGAAUGAAUGUCUGUGUGUGUGUGUGUGUGUGUGUGUGAGUUUUAUAGGGCAAACUAUACACUGAGUAUUUCUAACAUUAGGAACAACUUCCUAAUAUUGAGUUGCACCCCCCCAGCCCCCCUUUUGCCCUCAGAACAGACUCAAAUCGUCAGGUAAUGGACCUGUACCCCCGCACAUUGACUCGGUACCGGUACCCCCUGUAUUUAGCCUCGUUAUUGUUAUUUAAUUGUUACUUUUUUUAACUUUAUUUAGUAAAUGCAUUUUCUUAACUCUAUUUUCUUAACUGCAUUGUUGUAUAAGGGCUUGUAAAGUAAGUAUUUAAUGGUCAAGUUUACACCUGUUGUAUUCGGCGCAUGUGACAAAUACAAUUUGAUUUGACUCUACAAUGUGUCGAAGCGUUCCACAGGGAUGCUGGCCCAUGUUGACUCCAAUGCUUCCCACAGUUGUGUCAAGUUGGCUGGAUGUCCUUUGGGUGGUGGACCAUUCUUGACACACGUGUGAAAAACCCAGCAGCGUUGCAGUUCUUGACACAACGGUGCGCCUGGCACUUACUACCAUAACCCUGUUCGAAGUCAUUUAAAUAAUUUGUCUUGCCCAUUCACCCUUCUGAAGGGCACACAAUCCACGUCGCAAUUGUCUCAAGGCAUAGAAAUCCUUUAACCAUUCUCCUCCCCUUCAUCUACACUGAUUUAAAUGUAUUUAACAAGUGACGUCAAUGAGGGAUCAUAUCUUUCACCUGGAAUCACCUGGUCAGUUUACGUAAUGGAAAGAGCAGGUGUCCUUAAUGUUUAUUACACUCAGUGUAUAUGUUUGUCAUACUUGGGACAAAUAGGAUGUUAUGCUGAAAAAUAUGUUGGUCAGACAAGGCUAUGUAUGUUCGUGCACAUGGAAGUCAGUGAUUUAUGUUACCUAUACUGUAGGUUAAUGAGGCAAUACAAAUGUGAUGUGACCAACAUAUGGAUUAAAUGAAAGGGCCGAGAUUCAUCAAAACCUUAAGAAGACAUUUCUUAACUGUCUUAUGAAGAAGGUUUUUUUUUAACUCAAAAAGGUUAUUGGAAAUGUUAUUGUGCAAUUUCUUCUGUUUCCCAUUAAGCAUAAAGUUGGGAAGGAAUUAGAUUCUUGAAAAUGAUGUUAUUGGAUUUGUUCUUAAUUCCAAGAUGGCUAAACUCUUGUAUUAAACUCGGUGAGAGAAUAA